rnacentral:rRNA from 1 species
GAACGCUAGCUACAGGCUUAACACAUGCAAGUCGAGGGGCAGCAUGGUCUUAGCUUGCUAAGGCCGAUGGCGACCGGCGCACGGGUGAGUAACACGUAUCCAACCUGCCGUCUACUCUUGGACAGCCUUCUGAAAGGAAGAUUAAUACAAGAUGGCAUCAUGAGUCCGCAUGUUCACAUGAUUAAAGGUAUUCCGGUAGACGAUGGGGAUGCGUUCCAUUAGAUAGUAGGCGGGGUAACGGCCCACCUAGUCUUCGAUGGAUAGGGGUUCUGAGAGGAAGGUCCCCCACAUUGGAACUGAGACACGGUCCAAACUCCUACGGGAGGCAGCAGUGAGGAACAUUGGUCAAUGGGCGAGAGCCUGAACCAGCCAAGUGGCGUGAAGGAUGACUGCCCUAUGGGUUGUAAACUUCUUUUAUAAAGGAAUAAAGUCGGGUAUGGAUACCCGUUUGCAUGUACUUUAUGAAUAAGGAUCGGCUAACUCCGUGCCAGCAGCCGCGGUAAUACGGAGGAUCCGAGCGUUAUCCGGAUUUAUUGGGUUUAAAGGGAGCGUAGAUGGAUGUUUAAGUCAGUUGUGAAAGUUUGCGGCUCAACCGUAAAAUUGCAGUUGAUACUGGAUAUCUUGAGUGCAGUUGAGGCAGGCGGAAUUCGUGGUGUAGCGGUGAAAUGCUUAGAUAUCACGAAGAACUCCGAUUGCGAAGGCAGCCUGCUAAGCUGCAACUGACAUUGAGGCUCGAAAGUGUGGGUAUCAAACAGGAUUAGAUACCCUGGUAGUCCACACGGUAAACGAUGAAUACUCGCUGUUUGCGAUAUACUGCAAGCGGCCAAGCGAAAGCGUUAAGUAUUCCACCUGGGGAGUACGCCGGCAACGGUGAAACUCAAAGGAAUUGACGGGGGCCCGCACAAGCGGAGGAACAUGUGGUUUAAUUCGAUGAUACGCGAGGAACCUUACCCGGGCUUAAAUUGCAGAUGAAUUACGGUGAAAGCCGUAAGCCGCAAGGCAUCUGUGAAGGUGCUGCAUGGUUGUCGUCAGCUCGUGCCGUGAGGUGUCGGCUUAAGUGCCAUAACGAGCGCAACCCUUGUUGUCAGUUACUAACAGGUUCCGCUGAGGACUCUGACAAGACUGCCAUCGUAAGAUGUGAGGAAGGUGGGGAUGACGUCAAAUCAGCACGGCCCUUACGUCCGGGGCUACACACGUGUUACAAUGGGGGGUACAGAGGGCCGCUACCACGCGAGUGGAUGCCAAUCCCCAAAACCUCUCUCAGUUCGGACUGGAGUCUGCAACCCGACUCCACGAAGCUGGAUUCGCUAGUAAUCGCGCAUCAGCCACGGCGCGGUGAAUACGUUCCCGGGCCUUGUACACACCGCCCGUCAAGCCAUGGGAGCCGGGGGUACCUGAAGUGCGUAACCGCGAGGAGCGCCCUAGGGUAAAACUGGUGACUGGGGC